rnacentral:tRNA from 1 species
ACUUUUUUAAUAUAACCAUUAUAGAUGACUUCCACUCCAUCCAAUCUCAGUCAGACCCUGAGAAAAAGUA